GAUUGGGAGGGUUCUACGGAACCCGUUUGGUGAAUCUAGUGCCGAGAAAAGCCUUCUAUGUGUUGAAUUUCUAGUACCCGUACCCCAAACCGACACAGGUGGGUGGGUAGAGCAUACCUAGGGGCGCGUGAUAACUCUCUCUAAGGAACUCGGCACAAUGGCCCUGUAACUUCGGGAUAAGGGGUGCCUGCGUGAGCAGGCCGCAGUGAAAUGGCUCUGGCGACUGUUUACCAAAAACACAGGUCUCUGCUAAGUCGUAAGACGAUGUAUAGGGGCUGACUCCUGCCCAGUGCCGGAAGGUUAAGGAAGUUGGUUAGCGCAAGCGAAGCUGGCGACCGAAGCCCCGGUGAACGGCGGCCGUAACGAUAACGGUCCUAAGGUAGCGAAAUUCCUUGUCGGGUAAGUUCCGACCCGCACGAAAGGAGUAACGAUCAGAGCGCUGUCUCGGAGAGAGACACGGCGAAAUAGGAUUGUCCGUGAAGAUACGGACUACCUGCACCCGGACAGAAAGACCCUAUGAAGCUUUACUGUAACUUGGAAUUGUGUUCGGACUUUGUCUGCGCAGAAUAGGUGGGAGGCUAUGAAACGUUCCUCGCGGGGAACUGGAGCCAUCGUUGAGAUACCACUCUGGCAGAGUCUGGAUUCUAACCUACGGGGACAGUUCCAGGUGGGCAGUUUGACUGGGGCGGUCGCCUCCUAAAAUGUAACGGAGGCGCGCAAAGGUUCCCUCAGGCUGGUUGGAAAUCAGCCAUAGAGUGUAAAAGCAUAAGGGAGCUUGACUGUGAGACCUACAAGUCGAGCAGGGACGAAAGUCGGCUUUAGUGAUCCGACGGCACUGAGUGGAAGGGCCGUCGCUCAACGGAUAAAAGUUACUCUAGGGAUAACAGGCUGAUCUCCCCCAAGAGUUCACAUCGACGGGGAGGUUUGGCACCUCGAUGUCGGCUCGUCGCAACCUGGGGCGGUAGUACGUCCCAAGGGUUGGGCUGUUCGCCCAUUAAAGCGGCACGUGAGCUGGGUUCAGAACGUCGUGAGACAGUUCGGUCCAUAUCCGGUGUAGGCGUAGGAGCAUUGAAAGGAUCUCUCCUUAGUACGAGAGGACCGGGAGGGACGUACCUCUGGUGUACCUGUUAUCGUGCCAACGGUAAACGCAGGGUAGCCAUGUACGGAGUGGAUAACCGCUGAAAGCAUCUAAGUGGGAAGCCCACCUUAAGAUGAGUGCUCCCUUGAGGCCACGGGAAGACGACCCGUUUGAUAGGCGCUAGGUGGAAGUGCAGUAAUGCAUGCAGCCGAGGCGUACUAAUAGGCCGAUGGC
rnacentral:rRNA from 1 species